AUUGAACGCUGGCGGCAGGCCUAACACAUGCAAGUCGAGCGAGCGGCGGACGGGUGAGUAAUGUCUGGGAAACUGCCUGAUGGAGGGGGAGAACUACUGGAAACGGUAGCUAAUACCGCAUACCAUCAGAUGUGCCCAGAUGGGAUUAGCUAGGAGGGGGGGUAACGGCUCACCUGGGCGACGAUCGCUAGAUGGUCUGGGAGGAUGACCAGCCACACGGGAACUGAGCCAGGGUCCAGACGCCUGCGGUAGGCAGCAGUGGGGGAUAUGGCGCAAUGGGGGAAAGCCUGACACAGCCAUGCCGCGUGUGUGAAGAAGGCCUGCGGGUUGUAAAGCACGUCCUGCGGUGAGGCGUUACCCGCAGAAGAAGCACCGGCUAACUACGUGCCAGCAGCCGCGGUAAUUC
rnacentral:rRNA from 1 species